rnacentral:rRNA from 1 species
AUUGAACGCUGGCGGCAUGCCUUACACAUGCAAGUCGAACGGUAACAGGUCUUCGGAUGCUGACGAGUGGCGAACGGGUGAGUAAUACAUCGGAACGUGCCUAGUAGUGGGGGAUAACUACUCGAAAGAGUGGCUAAUACCGCAUGAGAUCUACGGAUGAAAGCAGGGGAUCGCAAGACCUUGUGCUACUAGAGCGGCCGAUGGCAGAUUAGGUAGUUGGUGGGAUAAAAGCUUACCAAGCCGACGAUCUGUAGCUGGUCUGAGAGGACGAUCAGCCACACUGGGACUGAGACACGGCCCAGACUCCUACGGGAGGCAGCAGUGGGGAAUUUUGGACAAUGGGCGAAAGCCUGAUCCAGCAAUGCCGCGUGCAGGAUGAAGGCCUUCGGGUUGUAAACUGCUUUUGUACGGAACGAAAAGCCCCGGGUUAAUACCCUGGGUCACGACGGUACCGUAAGAAUAAGCACCGGCUAACUACGUGCCAGCAGCCGCCGUAA